AAUAAAGUUUUCUUUAAAUAUGGAUGGAGUAUCUUCAGAGACUAAUGAAGAAAAAGACAAUACAGAGAGACCUGUUAGGAGACGGCAUUCCUCAAUUUUGAAACCCCCAAGGAGUCCUCUUCAGGACCUCAGAGGUGGAAAUGAACUAGUUCAGGAAUCCAAUGCUUUGAGAAAUAGGAAAAGCUCUCGUCGAGUCAGCUUUGCAGAUACAAUAAAG